rnacentral:rRNA from 1 species
AUGUACACAACCAUAACACCAACGAUUGCCAUGAGCUUAGGGCCAUCCGCGAUGGGCGCCUCGGUCGACGCCCCAAGCGCAAUGACCGAGGCUACGGCUGCGGAGGAAGCAGAAGUGGAGGAUGUUGGGACGACCGCGGCCCCCACCAGGAGUGGCGCAACCAGCCUCGUUAGGAUUGCUGGCAAGGCCAGCCUCGCGAGGGCAUCUAGAGAGGCCAGCCUCGUGAGGGAGCCUAGAGAGGUCAGCCUGGUGAGGACCAUCCUUAGGGCAAUGCUGGCCUCCCUCCACUACCACCACCACCAAGACGAGGGGGCUCGAGGCUUCCAGGAGCCUCGCACCAUCGCCUGCAUCUUGGGUGGCGCUCAGGCCCCAGCCUCCCGCCACAUCUUCAAGCAGUUCGCUCGUGCGGUCAACAUGGGCCUUCCCAGGCUCGAGGCCAUGCACCCACUUAGGUGGUCCAGGUGCACCAUCACCUUCAGCUCGUCCGACCAGCUCAAGUGCGCGGCAACUGCCGGCGCUGUCCCAAUGUUCUGCUCGCCCGUUAUCACCAACGUCCUUCUCACCAAGACCCUCAUCGAUGGUGGCGCGGGGCUCAAUGUUCUUUCCAUCGAGAUGUUCGACCGGCUCCAAGUGUCGUAUGAUCAGCUGCAGCCCACCAAGCCUUUCUCAAGAGUGACCGAUGGUUCUGCCACUCUGAUAGGUCAGAUCCGCCUCCCUGUCACCAUUGGCCAGCGUGACAACUACCGCACCGAGCUCAUCGACUUCGACGUCGCUCACAUUCGCCUCACGUACAACGCCAUCCUUGGGUAUCCGGCCCUGGCUAAGUUCAUGGCGGUGCCCCACCAUGUCUACAAUGUCCUCAAGAUGCCAAGGAGCCACGACAUCGUCGCGACGCUUGCGAGGAGAAGGACGCGGUGUGCUCUCUCGAGCGCGCCUACCAGACUACGACAGUGGAAGACCCAGACAACGAAGGCGCCAUCUACCCUCCCGAGGCUGUCCCCAAGAAGAAAAAGCAGAUACUCCGUCAAGAGCCUCAUGAGAGCAGCAUCUCCAGCGGCACCACCUCAGUACCAGCGCCCAUGGAUGGGGUGGCUCCCUCUCUCGCAUAGGAAGGUGCGCCCGAUGCCCUCCUCGGGCUGGGCUCGAGGGCUCCCUUCUAGAGGGCCUCUGACCUGGCCAAUGCCAUGA